UACGAGAGGCCCAAACGUUAUUCGGAAUUACUGGGCUUAAAGAGUUCGUAGGCGGCGCGGAAAGUGGGGUGUGAAAGCCCUCGGCUCAACCGAGGAAUUGCGCUCCAAACUACCGUGCUUGAGGAAGCUAAAGGUGAGCGGAACUGAUGGUGGAGCGGUGAAAUGCGUUGAUAUCAUCAGGAACACCGGAGGCGAAGGCGGCUCACUGGGGCUUUUCUGACGCUGAGGAACGAAAGCCAGGGUAGCGAACGGG
rnacentral:rRNA from 1 species